AUUUAUUUCUGCUUAUAAGCAUAUUUAUUUUUAGUUGGUAACAAUUACCUAUUUUCAGUGGUGCAUUUUAUAAUUACUUCUUGGUGUGUAUGCAAAUUAUGGUUAUGCCAUAAUUUAUUCUAUUUCUGAGGUAAUUGGUCUCUCUAAGUAUAGUUAUUAAAUUUAUUCGUUCACAAAAUGUUUUAUGCAGAUAUUUAUUGAGGACACAUAUAUAAAGAGGUUUUCAUUUUUCAUUCUCAUAUCCCAUUUAGUUCGACUACUGAAGUUUAAUUCAGUGUUUUACUUAUAGAUAUGUCUAAUUGUGCCAUUUAUGCAUACAUUCUAUUAAUACAACAUUGUGAUAUAGUUCAUAAUAUGUACAUGUUUAAGGUUUCGGUUUACUGCUUUCUUCAUGUGCAAGAUGGUAAUAAUUAUAUAAUAGUAGAUAAUAGUUCUGUUUAAUAUAUAAUCACUUAUCUGAACUUUGCUGAAUUAUCUUAUUAUUAACAGAUUUAUACUUUUGAUAAUCUAUUUCACCUUGUGUGAGGUAAUUAUAUAACAUGCAAACAAGCAAAUAUAAUAGUUAACCACAUUAACAAAUAAGUUUAAAUGGCUUAGGUUCAUUAAAAUAUUAUUUAGAUUUG
rnacentral:lncRNA from 1 species